CACAAGCAGUGGAGUAUGUGGUUUAAUUCGACGCAACGCGAAGAACCUUACCAAGUCUUGACAUCCUGCGACGGUUCUGGAAACAGUAUUUUCCUUCGGGACGCAGAGACAGGUGGUGCAUGGUUGUCGUCAGCUCGUGUCGUGAGAUGUUGGGUUAAGUCCCGCAACGAGCGCAACCCUUAUGGUCAGUUACUACGCAAGAGGACUCUGGCCAGACUGCCG
rnacentral:rRNA from 1 species